rnacentral:hammerhead_ribozyme from 1 species
AUCCAGCUGACGAGCCGCAAAUAAGACGAAACGCGCGUCCUAGAU